ensembl:lncRNA
GGGGGAGUAGGACAAAGCUAAAGGGAUGAGGUGGGGGAAAGUAGGACAAGGCUUAAAGGGAUGAGGUGGGGAGUAGGACAAGGCUAAAUGGAUGAGGUGGUGGAGUAGGAAAAGGCUAGAGGAAUGAGGUGGGGAGUAGGACAAGGCUAAAGGGAUGAGGUGGGGGGAGUAGGACAAGGCUAAAGGGAUGAGGUGGGGGGAGUAGGGCAAGGCUUAAAGGGAUGAGGUGGGGAGUAGGACAAGGCUAAAUGGAUGAGGUGGUGGAGUUGGACAAGGCUAAAGGAAUAAGGUGGGGAGUAGGACAAGGCUAAAGGGAUGAGGUGGGAGAGUAGGACAAGGCUAAAGAGAUGAGGUGGGGGAGUAGGACAAGGCUAGAGGAAUGAGGUGGGGGAGUAGGACAAGGCUAAAUGAAUGAGGUGGGGGAGUAGGAAAAGGCUAAAGGGAUGAGGUGGUGGAGUAGGAAAAGGCUAGAGGAAUGAGGUGGGGGAGUAGGACAAGGCUAAAGGGAUGAGGUGGUGGAGUAGGAAAAGGCUAAAGGGAUGAGGUGGGGUUAGUAGGACAAGGCUAAAGGAAUGAGGUGGGGGAGUAGGACAAGGCUAGAGGAAUGAGGUGGUGGAGUAGGACAAGGCUAAAUGAAUGAGGUGGGGGAGUAGGACAAGGCUAGAGGAAUGAGGUGGGGGAGUAGGACAAGGCUAAAGGGAUGAGGUGGUGGAGUAGGAAAAGGCUAAAGGGAUGAGGUGGGGUUAGUAGGACAAGGCUAAAGGAAUGAGGUGGGAGAGUAGGACAAUGCUAGAGGAAUGAGGUGGGGGAGUAGAACAACGCUAGAGGAAUGAGGUGGGAGAGUAGGACAAUGCUAGAGGAAUGAGGUGGGGGAGUAGAACAACGCUAGAGGAAUGAGGUGGGGGAGUAGAACAACGCUAGAGGAAUGAGGUGGGGUAGUAGGACAACGCUAAAGGAAUAAGGUGGGGGAGUAGCACAAGGCUAAAGGAAUGAGGUGGGGGAGUAGGACAAGGAUAAAGGAAGGAGGUGGGACAGUAGGGCAAGGCUAAAGGGAUGAGGUGGGGGAGUAGGGCAAGGCUAAAGGGAUGAGGUGGGAAAGUAGGGCAAGGCCAAAGGGAUGAGGUGGGACAGUAGGGCAAGGCUAAAGGGAUGAGGUGGGGGAGUAGGGCAAGACUAAAGGGAUGAGGUGGAGGAGUCAGUGCGACAGGUUUAAUCCCCUCCUCUAUCUCCAUCCACAACACCCUAGCAAGCUGCAAGCCUACUAGAUGGUAAUAGGCACUCAAGUUGCCCCUAGGGGACGGUCUUGAAGGCAUCUCCCGACAUCCUACGGACCUGGGCAAACGUUGAAUACUGAAAUCUAUCUUGUGUGACCUGGCUGGUAUAGGGAUAAGGAGGGGAGCCAGACAAGCUCAUGCACAUUACUGUAUAAUAUGCUAUUUAUUUGUAAUAAUAAUGAAGAUGCGAUUUCCUUCACAUUGAUUAUGAAUUAUUAUAUUAACUAUAACACAAGAAAGUGAGAAAAUGUCCAGUGAAGUUGGGUGACACUGAACACAUACACACACCAACACAAGCCCUUGACUACCCCUUGAAUCAGGGGUGUUAAUGUUGGUUCUGGAACAAAUAUGUGCAGGCUUGGGAAAUCCCCUACACUAGAGUGAAGUCCAGCCUGGCUACUAUGGCAACCAUUCUGUUCCUUAAACUCUGAGGUCAGCCCUUUCUUUCACCCAUAAUUCCCUGUUUCAGGAGGAGCGAGCGGCCGUUUCCAGCCGGUCAGUCCCCAUCAGUGUCCCUGCCAAGCCCACAAUAAACUGUGGCUAAAAGUUGUGUGUUUCAUAUCCCUUCCCUCCUUGACACAAAUGGCCCCUGUCAGACAGAGGAAAAUGGUUUCUACCCUGCGUCCUUCAUUUUACUUGCAAAAACAUGGCAGCUCUUUAACUAAAUACAACAUAAACUAAAUGCCUGAGACGUGUGUGUGUAUGUUCCUUUUUGGAAAAACGACAUGAAUUUCACGUGAUCACGUGUUUU